AGAAUCAACGCUGGCGGCGUGCCUAACACAUGCAAGUCGAACGAGAAAGUGGAGCAAUCCAUGAGUAAAGUGGCGCACGGGUGAGUAACACGUGACUAACCUACCCUUGAGUGGGGGAUAACCUAGGGAAACCUGGGCUAAUACCGCAUAAUACCUUCGGGUCAAAGGAGCAAUUCGCUUAAGGAGGGGGUCGCGGCCGAUUAGUUAGUUGGCGGGGUAAUGGCCCACCAAGACUAUGAUCGGUAUCCGGCCUGAGAGGGCGCACGGACACACUGGAACUGAAACACGGUCCAGACUCCUACGGGAGGCAGCAGUGGGGAAUUUUGCGCAAUGGGGGAAACCCUGACGCAGCAACGCCGCGUGGAGGAUGAAGUCCCUUGGGACGUAAACUCCUUUCGAUCGGGACGAUUAUGACGGUACCGAGAGAAGAGCCCGGCUAACUUCGUGCCAGCAGCCGC
rnacentral:rRNA from 1 species